rnacentral:lncRNA from 1 species
GACUCUCGCGAGAGCGCGCGGCGCGGUGACUCGUCGCUGAGGGACUUUAGGAUUGUAGAGGGGCGCGGAGGGUCCUCCCCGGGGCGGAGGGACACAGAGGGAUUCUAGGGAACCUGCCGUCGCGAGUCCCGCUUCAGGCGGAGAAUCCAGGCGGCGGCGGGGCCUCCCUGAGGCGGAGGAGUCGGCACCGGGGCCUGGCUGCCGGGGAAGGAGAGCACGGGAGCGGGGACUCGUGUGUCUGGCGGAGGGACACGGCGUUCCGGUGGAGGGAUCUGUUCCGUGUACCUGGUCCAGGGCUGCGGUCGGGGAUGGAGCGGGUACCCCUACCCUGCGGGACCUUCUUCCCCUGGCGGAGGUGCACGGCGCGGCGUGGUGCUUUUCUGGCGGAAGUAUCUGUGCGUGGCCCCAGGCCCUUCCCGCGCGGUCUCAUCUGGGGCCACUUGUUGGCCCUGGCGUUGGGGAGGUUCAUGUGGUGGAUCCUGAUGAGAAGGGGGGUCACAGGGGUCUCGGGGCCAGGGUUCAGCCAGCCAGGCCCCAGCUUGCUCUCUUCUGGUGCUGCCUCUGUCCCUGAAUUCAUAGACCCGGCUUUCCCUCUCUUGAGCACCUACUAUGUGCCAGGCUGCGCUUUGCGCAUGUAGCAGAGGCAACAGUGUCACCUGGGAAGCUGCUUUUCCCCCAAAGGAACUCUUGUCUGUCCGUUGUUGCAGAGCCAGCGCAUGAGACCAAGUGUGAGUAUCAGGCAGUGCAGCCUUCAUUCAGUGGCCAUGGAAUUGGAGAAGUGGGAGGGUAGCUCGCAAAUCAAGCUCUCAGCUCUUGAAAACUGAGAAGUUACAGGUAAUAGGGAGUGUUGACGAAAAGUAAAACUGUGCAAAAUAUUUGAAGAGAUUUAUUCUGAGCCAAAUACGAGUAACCACAGCCUGUGAUACAGCCCUCUCGAGGCCCUGAGAACAUGUGCCCAGGUGGUCGGGGUGCAGCUUGGUUUUAUGUUUCAGGUUGGCAUGAGACAUCAGUCAAAUACAUUAAAUACAUUGGUUUGGUCCAGGAAGGCGGGACAACGCAAAGGGGUGGGGGUGGGGGCUUCCAGGCUAUAGGUAAAUUUAAAUAUUUUCUAGUUGACAAUUGGUUGAGUUUGUCUGAAGACCUGGGAUUGAUAGAAAGGAAGUGUUCAGGUUAAGAUAAAAGAUAGUGGAGACUAAGGUUCUUUUGAAGUCUUAUGGUGGCUGCUCUUAGAGAUAAUAGAUGACAAAUGUUUCCUAUUCAGAUCUUCAAAAGGUGUUAGACUUUUAGUUAAUCCGUUUAGGAUUGGGAGGGCCUGGAAGAAAAACAUCUAGCUAUGUUAAUAGAUGUUCUUUACAGAUGCACAUUUUACCCCACAAAGGAUAGCUUUUGGGGGAAAAUGCUGUCCUUUAUGGAAGAAAUUGCAAAAUAGGGCAAAGAAACAUGUUUUGGGGUAAAAUAUUUUGACUUUCUGUCACGUAAUGUUAUGCCAGAGUCAGAUUGGAAAGUAAGUCAUCAUAUAUAGGAUUAAAUAAAACCCAUCUGAUGAGAAUUUAUGGUUUGUAGGUCAUGACUCCCCAGAUCCCUUAGAUAGGAAUUUGAGCAGGAUUAAAAAAAUAAAGAGUUUAGGCUGGGCGUGGUGGCUCACGCCUAUAAUCCCAGCAUUUUGGGAGGCCAAGGCAGGUGGAUCACUUGAGGUCAGAAGUUUAAGACCAGCCUGGCCAACAUGGCGAAACCCCGUCUCUACUAAAAAUAUAAAAAUUAGCUGGGCAUGGUGGCACACGCCUGUGAUUCUAGCUGCUUGGGAGGCUGAGGCAUGAGACUCAACUUGAACCCGGGAGGCGGAGGUUGCAAUGAGCUGAGAUUGUGCCACUGCACUCCAGCUUGGGUGACAAAGCGAGACUCUGUGUCAAAAACAAAACAAAACAGAAAAAAAAGAAUCAGAGCUUAGUCCUCAGGUGUCCUUAAUGAAGGGGCUGGGCAUUAAGAGCAAGGCGAGGAGGCAGAAGGAAAGCUUGAGCCCAGGAAUUGGAGACCAGCUUGGGCAACAUGGUAAGAUCCUGUCUCUAAAAAAAAUAAAAAUUAAGAACAAGAGGAGGAAUAUUCAUGUUUUUUCUUGGGAAGGGAGGUAGAUUUUCCUGGAAUCAAGGAGCUGCCCCUUUUUUUGUCCUUUUUUUGGUCUCUUCGGGUCAUCAUGGUGAUUGUCAACUGUCAUGGCAACCAGUGGGAAUGUCAUUUAGUACUGAAGUUGGAUUAGAAUGAAGCUAGAGGUUCUUCAGAGGUCGAGUAAGCUAAGAAGGAACCUAUGACCACAGACAACCUGUUUUCUAAAAAUAAGCAGAGUUAAAUCUGAGUAGGAAUUUAGCUAUGUCAUGGAGGCAUUGCAUUGGGUAACAAAAGCCAGGUAGGCGUCCAGCUGAGUCCCCUAGGCCCUGCAACGGGUAACAGCAGUACUGACUCUAUGUUAGAGAAAAGCUUGCUUGCUUGAGUAUAAUUAUUGUUUUGCCUGAGUUUGUAAAUUAUUCACUAAAAACAGCCACAGAGAAAAACAGGACCUUCUUCAACAGAUAAAACACACAGACCCGCAGCUUUGGGAACAGGCUGAUGGCCCCUGCACAGUCUAGUCACAAGGCAUCGACCAAGAAAGUAAUGAUUAAUUGCCCAUCUGAGACUGCGCAUGAUUCAGAAGAAUGUUUCUUUGUUUUGUUUUUUGAGACAGUCUUGGUCUGUCUCCCAGGCUGGAGUGCAGUGAUGUUGGUUCGCUGUAGCCUCUGCCUCCUGAGUAGCUGGGACUACAGGCGUGUGCCACCGCACCUGGCUAAUUUUUGUAUUUUUAGUAGAGAUGACGUUUCACUAUGUUGGCCAGGAUGGUCUCGAACUCCUGACCUCAAGUGAUCCACCUGCCUCGGCCUCCCAAAUUGCUGGGGUUACAAGCGUGAGCCACCGCUCCUGGCCCACAAGAAUAUUUUGAUCAUUAUUUCUCCUAAUUUUCCUUAAAAUCCCUGGAUCUAGAGGCACAACUGAGAAAGGUGGUCUUUGAACGCUAGUGCACUGCCUUUUGCAGGUUGCUGGUUUCUCGAAUAAAGCUAACUUUGCUUUCACCAAA